UACGGAGGGUGCAAGCGUUAUCCGGAUUCACUGGGUUUAAAGGGUGCGUAGGCGGGUUGGUAAGUCCGUGGUGAAAUCCCCCAAGCUUAACUUGGGAACUGCCGUGGAUACUAUCAAUCUUGAAUAUCGUGGAGGUAAGCGGAAUAUGUCAUGUAGCGGUGAAAUGCGCAGAUAUCGGGAGGAACACCCGUAGCGAAGGCGGCACUCUGGGCCGGUACUGACGCUGAGGAGCGAAAGCGUGGGGAGCAAACAGG
rnacentral:rRNA from 1 species